CUCAGGAUGAACGCUGGCGGCGUGCCUAAUACAUGCAAGUCGAGCGAACUGAUUAGAAGCUUGCUUCUAUGACGUUAGCGGCGGACGGGUGAGUAACACGUGGGCAACCUGCCUGUAAGACUGGGAUAACUUCGGGAAACCGAAGCUAAUACCGGAUAGGAUCUUCUCCUUCAUGGGAGAUGAUUGAAAGAUGGUUUCGGCUAUCACUUACAGAUGGGCCCGCGGUGCAUUAGCUAGUUGGUGAGGUAACGGCUCACCAAGGCAACGAUGCAUAGCCGACCUGAGAGGGUGAUCGGCCACACUGGGACUGAGACACGGCCCAGACUCCUACGGGAGGCAGCAGUAGGGAAUCUUCCGCAAUGGACGAAAGUCUGACGGAGCAACGCCGCGUGAGUGAUGAAGGCUUUCGGGUCGUAAAACUCUGUUGUUAGGGAAGAACAAGUACGAGAGUAACUGCUCGUACCUUGACGGUACCUAACCAGAAAGCCACGGCUAACUACGUGCCAGCAGCCGCGGUAAUACGUAGGUGGCAAGCGUUAUCCGGAAUUAUUGGGCGUAAAGCGCGCGCAGGCGGUUUCUUAAGUCUGAUGUGAAAGCCCACGGCUCAACCGUGGAGGGUCAUUGGAAACUGGGGAACUUGAGUGCAGAAGAGAAAAGCGGAAUUCCACGUGUAGCGGUGAAAUGCGUAGAGAUGUGGAGGAACACCAGUGGCGAAGGCGGCUUUUUGGUCUGUAACUGACGCUGAGGCGCGAAAGCGUGGGGAGCAAACAGGAUUAGAUACCCUG
rnacentral:rRNA from 2 species